rnacentral:misc_RNA from 1 species
AACGCACCUUGCGCCCUUUGGUAUUCCGAAGGGCAUGCCUGUUUGAGUGUCAUUAAAUUCUCAACCUUGAGCUUUUGCGAGCUCAAGGCUUGGAUGUGAGGGCUUGCUGGCUUCCUUCAGUGGAUUGGUCUGCUCCCUUUAAGUGCAUUAGUGGGAUCCUUUGUGGAGCGUCACUUGGUGUGAUAAUUAUCUACGCCUCUUUGACCGAAGCAAGCCUUAUGGGAACCUGCUUAUAACUGUCCUUCAAGGACAAUUUAUUGACUAUUUGACCUCAAAUCAGGUAGGACUACCCGCUGAACUUAA